UACGUAGGGUGCGAGCGUUGUCCGGAAUUAUUGGGCGUAAAGAGCUCGUAGGCGGUUUGUUGCGUCUAUCGUGAAAACCUGCAGCUUAACUGUGGGCUUGCGGUGGAUACGGGCAGACUUGAGUUCGGUAGGGGAGACUGGAAUUCCUGGUGUAGCGGUGAAAUGCGCAGAUAUCAGGAGGAACACCGGUGGCGAAGGCGGGUCUCUGGGCUGACACUGACGCUCAUGCACGAAAGCGUGGGGAGCAAACAGG
rnacentral:rRNA from 1 species